rnacentral:rRNA from 1 species
UGCGCAGGCGGUUAUGUAAGACAGAUGUGAAAUCCCCGGGCUCAACCUGGGAACUGCAUUUGUGACUGCAUGGCUAGAGUACGGUAGAGGGGGAUGGAAUUCCGCGUGUAGCAGUGAAAUGCGUAGAUAUGCGGAGGAACACCGAUGGCGAAGGCAAUCCCCUGGACCUGUACUGACGCUCAUGCACGAAAGGCUGGGAGCAAACA